rnacentral:rRNA from 1 species
GACGAACGCUGGCGGCGUGCCUAACACAUGCAAGUCGAACGAAGCUCCGAACCUUGAGAUUCGUCGAUAGGUGAGGAUGACUUAGUGGCGGACGGGUGAGUAAUGCGUGAGCAACCUGCCCUUUGGAGGGGGACAACAGCUGGAAACGGCUGCUAAUACCGCAUAAAGUAUCUGGGAGGCAUCUUCCGGAUACCAAAGAUUUUAUCGCCGAAGGAUGGGCUCACGUCUGAUUAGCUAGUUGGUGGGGUAACGGCCUACCAAGGCUGCGAUCAGUAGCCGGACUGAGAGGUUGAACGGCCACAUUGGGACUGAGAUACGGCCCAGACUCCUACGGGAGGCAGCAGUGGGGAAUAUUGGGCAAUGGGGGCAACCCUGACCCAGCAACGCCGCGUGAAGGAAGAAGGCCUUCGGGUUGUAAACUUCUUUUAUGAGGGACGAAAGAGAUGACGGUACCUCAUGAAUAAGCUACGGCUAACUACGUGCCAGCAGCCGCGGUAAUACGUAGGUGGCGAGCGUUGUCCGGAUUUACUGGGUGUAAAGGGCGCGUAGGCGGGGGAGCAAGUCAGAUGUGAAAUCCCCGGGCUUAACCCGGGAACUGCAUUUGAAACUGUUUUUCUUGAGUGAUGGAGAGGCAAGCGGAAUUCCUAGUGUAGCGGUGAAAUGCGUAGAUAUUAGGAGGAACACCAGUGGCGAAGGCGGCUUGCUGGACAUUAACUGACGCUGAGGCGCGAAAGCGUGGGGAGCAAACAGG